rnacentral:lncRNA from 1 species
GCCAGAUUAGAAGGGUCUAGGAUUCCUUUGUAAGGCACAGCAAGAAAGACAAUCAGAUACAAUAUCAGGGAUCUCCUGGUAAGGCUUCUGGCUACCAUUAGUUCUGAAUACUGAGGUUUUGAUGAGAAAAAUGGCUGUGAGUUUUGAAAUGUCUUUGAGAAUUUCUUGGAUUUGUUGCCUGUUAAUUGGAGGGAUAACCUGUUAUCCUCCACCUAAAGGUAACUAUAGAUAUAUUCCCCCAAAUAAAUUAAAAGGAACCACGACUGGCCCAAAUACUUUAGGUGGAGCAACUGGAUCCCGUACCUCAGCAGCAGAAGCAGCCACCCACAAUGCCUCAGCAAGUGCCACGACUGGCCCAAAUACUUUAGGUGAAGCAACUGGAUCCCGUACCGCAGAAGCAGCCACCCACAAUGCCUCAGCAAGCGCCACGACUGGCCCAAAUACUUUAGGUGAAGCAACUGGCCACAGUGCCUCGGCAGCGGCCCCCGUAAUGCCUCGGCAGCGGAAGCGGCCACCCAUAAUGCCUCGGCAAGUGUGGUAACUGGCCCAAAUACCUUAGGUGAAUCACCUGGCCACAAUGCUUCAUCAGGUGUCACGGGCGUGCCCAAAUACCAUGGGUGAAGCAUCUGACUCCCGUGCCUCAGCAGCAGCAGCAACCCGAAAUGCCUCAGCAAGCGUCACAGCUGGGCCAAAUACCUUAGGUGAAGCAACUGGCCACGGUUUCUCGGAAACAACUGGCCACAGUGCCUCGGCAGCGGAAGCUACUGGCCACAGUGCCUCGCAAGCGGCCCCCCGUAAUGCAGCGGAAGCGGCCACCCAUAAUGCCUCGGCAAGUGUGCUAACCGGCCCAAAUACCUUAGGUGAAGCAACUGGCCACAAUGCUUCAUCAGGCGUCACGGCUGGCCCAAAUACCUUGGGUGAAGCAUCCGACUCUCGUGCCUCAACAGCAACCCGAAAUGCCUCAGCAAGCGUCACGGCUGGGCCAAAUACCUUAGGUGAAGCAACUGGCCACGGUUCCUCGGCAGCAGAAGCAACUGGCCACAGUGCCACCCACAAUGCCUCGGCAAGUGUGGCAACUGGCCCAAAUACCUUAGGUGAAGCACCUGGCCACAAUGCUUCAUCAGGUGUCACGGCUGGCCCAAAUACCUUGGGUGAAGCAACUGGCCACGGAGCCUCGGCAGCAGAAGCAACUGGCCACAGUGCCACCCACAAUGCCUCGGAAAGCGUGGCAACUGGCCCAAAUACCUUAGGUGAAGCACCUGGCCACAAUGCUUCAUCAGGUGUCACGGCUGGCCCAAAUACCUUGGGUGAAGCAUCCGACUCCCGUGCCUCAGCAGAAGCAGCCACCCACAAUGCCUCAGCAAGCGUCACGGCUGGCCCAAAUACCUUAUGUGAAGCAACCGGCCACUUUGCCUCGGCAGUGGAAGCAACCGGCCACAGUGCCUCAUCAAGUGCGGAAUCUGGUUCAAAUGCCUCGGCAGAAGCGACAGGCGCCCUUGCCUCGGCAAAAGCGACAGGCGCCCUUGCCUCGGCAGAAGCGACAGGCGCCCUUGCCUCGGCAGAAGCGACAGGCGCCCUUGCCUCGGCAGAAGCGACAGGCGCCCUUGCCUCGGCAGAAGCGACAGGCGCCCUUGCCUCGGCAGAAGCGACAGGCGCCCUUGCCUCGGCA